AGCGAACGCUGGCGGCAUGCUUAACACAUGCAAGUCGCACGGGCGGGGGCAACUCCGUCAGUGGCGGACGGGUGAGUAACGCGUAGGAAUCUAUCCUUGAAUGGGGGACAACCGUGGGAAACUACGGCUAAUACCGCAUGAUGCCUGAGGGCCAAAGACGAAAGUCGUUUGAGGAGGAGCCUGCGUCUGAUUAGGUAGUUGGUGGGGUAAAGGCCUACCAAGCCCUACGAUCAGUAGCUGGUCUGAGAGGAUGAUCAGCCACAUUGGGACUGAGACACGGCUCAAACUCCUACGGGAGGCAGCAGUGGGGAAUAUUGGACAAUGGGCGCAAGCCUGAUCCAGCAAUGCCGCGUGGGUGAAGAAGGUCUUCGGAUUGUAAAGCCCUUUUGGCGGGGACGAUGAUGACGGUACCCGCAGAAUAAGCUCCGGCUAACUUCGUG
rnacentral:rRNA from 1 species